AUUGAACGCUGGCGGCGUGCUUAACACAUGCAAGUCGAACGGUGAAGCAGGAGCUUGCUCCUGCGGAUCAGUGGCGAACGGGUGAGUAACACGUGAGCAAUCUGCCCUGGACUCUGGGAUAAGCGUUGGAAGCGACGUCUAAUACCGGAUACGAGGCGUGGGGGCAUCCCCAACGCCUGGAAAGAAUUUCGGUCCAGGAUGAGCUCGCGACCUAUCAGGUAGUUGGUGAGGUAAUGGCUCACCAAGCCUACGACGGGUAGCCGGCCUGAGAGGGUGACCGGCCACACGGGGACGGAGACACGGCCCAGACUCCUACGGGAGGCAGCAGUGGGGAAUAUUGCACAAUGGGCGCAAGCCUGAUGCAGCAACGCCGCGUGAGGGACGACGGCCUUCGGGUUGUAAACCUCUUUUAGCAGGGAAGAAGCGAAAGUGACGGUACCUGCAGAAAAAGCACCGGCUAACUACGUGCCAGCAGCCGCCGUAACAC
rnacentral:rRNA from 1 species